GGGUUGUGAGGUUAAGCGACUAAGCGUACACGGUGGAUGCCCUGGCAGUCAGAGGCGAUGAAGGACGUGCUAAUCUGCGAUAAGCGUCGGUGAGGUGAUAUGAACCGUUAUAACCGGCGAUUUCCGAAUGGGGAAACCCAGUGUGUUUCGACACACUAUCAUUAACUGAAUCCAUAGGUUAAUGAGGCGAACCGGGGGAACUGAAACAUCUAAGUACCCCGAGGAAAAGAAAUCAACCGAGAUUCCCCCAGUAGCGGCGAGCGAACGGGGAGGAGCCCAGAGCCUGAAUCAGUGUGUGUGUUAGUGGAAGCGUCUGGAAAGGCGCGCGAUACAGGGUGACAGCCCCGUACACAAAAAUGCACAUACUGUGAGCUCGAUGAGUAGGGCGGGACACGUGGUAUCCUGUCUGAAUAUGGGGGGACCAUCCUCCAAGGCUAAAUACUCCUGACUGACCGAUAGUGAACCAGUACCGUGAGGGAAAGGCGAAAAGAACCCCGGCGAGGGGAGUGAAAAAGAACCUGAAACCGUGUACGUACAAGCAGUGGGAGCCUCUUAAUGGGGUGACUGCGUACCUUUUGUAUAAUGGGUCAGCGACUUAUAUUCUGUAGCAAGGUUAACCGAAUAGGGGAGCCGAAGGGAAACCGAGUCUUAACUGGGCGUUAAGUUGCAGGGUAUAGACCCGAAACCCGGUGAUCUAGCCAUGGGCAGGUUGAAGGUUGGGUAACACUAACUGGAGGACCGAACCGACUAAUGUUGAAAAAUUAGCGGAUGACUUGUGGCUGGGGGUGAAAGGCCAAUCAAACCGGGAGAUAGCUGGUUCUCCCCGAAAGCUAUUUAGGUAGCGCCUCGUGAAUUCAUCUCCGGGGGUAGAGCACUGUUUCGGCAAGGGGGUCAUCCCGACUUACCAACCCGAUGCAAACUGCGAAUACCGGAGAAUGUUAUCACGGGAGACACACGGCGGGUGCUAACGUCCGUCGUGAAGAGGGAAACAACCCAGACCGCCAGCUAAGGUCCCAAAGUCAUGGUUAAGUGGGAAACGAUGUGGGAAGGCCCAGACAGCCAGGAUGUUGGCUUAGAAGCAGCCAUCAUUUAAAGAAAGCGUAAUAGCUCACUGGUCGAGUCGGCCUGCGCGGAAGAUGUAACGGGGCUAAACCAUGCACCGAAGCUGCGGCAGCGACACUAUGUGUUGUUGGGUAGGGGAGCGUUCUGUAAGCCUGUGAAGGUGGCCUGUGAGGGUUGCUGGAGGUAUCAGAAGUGCGAAUGCUGACAUAAGUAACGAUAAAGCGGGUGAAAAGCCCGCUCGCCGGAAGACCAAGGGUUCCUGUCCAACGUUAAUCGGGGCAGGGUGAGUCGACCCCUAAGGCGAGGCCGAAAGGCGUAGUCGAUGGGAAACAGGUUAAUAUUCCUGUACUUGGUGUUACUGCGAAGGGGGGACGGAGAAGGCUAUGUUGGCCGGGCGACGGUUGUCCCGGUUUAAGCGUGUAGGCUGGUUUUCCAGGCAAAUCCGGAAAAUCAAGGCUGAGGCGUGAUGACGAGGCACUACGGUGCUGAAGCAACAAAUGCCCUGCUUCCAGGAAAAGCCUCUAAGCAUCAGGUAACAUCAAAUCGUACCCCAAACCGACACAGGUGGUCAGGUAGAGAAUACCAAGGCGCUUGAGAGAACUCGGGUGAAGGAACUAGGCAAAAUGGUGCCGUAACUUCGGGAGAAGGCACGCUGAUAUGUAGGUGAAGCGACUUGCUCGUGGAGCUGAAAUCAGUCGAAGAUACCAGCUGGCUGCAACUGUUUAUUAAAAACACAGCACUGUGCAAACACGAAAGUGGACGUAUACGGUGUGACGCCUGCCCGGUGCCGGAAGGUUAAUUGAUGGGGUUAGCGGCAACGCGAAGCUCUUGAUCGAAGCCCCGGUAAACGGCGGCCGUAACUAUAACGGUCCUAAGGUAGCGAAAUUCCUUGUCGGGUAAGUUCCGACCUGCACGAAUGGCGUAAUGAUGGCCAGGCUGUCUCCACCCGAGACUCAGUGAAAUUGAACUCGCUGUGAAGAUGCAGUGUACCCGCGGCAAGACGGAAAGACCCCGUGAACCUUUACUAUAGCUUGACACUGAACAUUGAGCCUUGAUGUGUAGGAUAGGUGGGAGGCUUUGAAGUGUGGACGCCAGUCUGCAUGGAGCCGACCUUGAAAUACCACCCUUUAAUGUUUGAUGUUCUAACGUGGGCCCGUAAUCCGGGUUGCGGACAGUGUCUGGUGGGUAGUUUGACUGGGGCGGUCUCCUCCUAAAGAGUAACGGAGGAGCACGAAGGUUGGCUAAUCCUGGUCGGACAUCAGGAGGUUAGUGCAAUGGCAUAAGCCAGCUUGACUGCGAGCGUGACGGCGCGAGCAGGUGCGAAAGCAGGUCAUAGUGAUCCGGUGGUUCUGAAUGGAAGGGCCAUCGCUCAACGGAUAAAAGGUACUCCGGGGAUAACAG
rnacentral:rRNA from 1 species